CAGUAGCCGCGGUAAUACGUAUGUCACAAGCGUUAUCCGGAUUUAUUGGGCGUAAAGCGCGCGCAGGCGGAUAGGUCAGUCUGUCUUAGAAGUUCGGGGCUUAACCCCGUGAUGGGAUGGAAACUGCCAAUCUAGAGUAUCGGAGAGGAAAGUGGAAUUCCUAGUGUAGCGGUGAAAUGCGUAGAUAUUAGGAAGAACACCAGUGGCGAAGGCGACUUUCUGGACGAAAACUGACGCUGAGGCGCGAAAGCCAGGGGAGCGAACGGGAUUAGAUACCCCCGUAGUCCCUGUCUCUUAUACA
rnacentral:rRNA from 1 species